GAUCCGAACAGUCUCCAAAAGUUUCUUGUCACGAUGGAACGUCUGGCAGGUACAAGCACGCGCACACUUACAUAUGUUUUGCGUUUUAAUACUGGAAUCAUUAAAUUCGUCAAAAAAUCGUCACGUAAAACGUAAAUCGAAGGAUGCUCAAAGAUACGAAUAAAAAUAAUAAUAAUAAAAAGAAUCGAACAUAAAUAAAUGGAAUGAAAACUUUUCUCUAUACAAUUGUGAUCGUAAAAAAAUUGUACAUUACAAUCUAUGAUACCUAUGUUAUGUUUCUGACGAAAUAUUUUCACGAUUUUAUUCCUCGUUUCCUCUUCUAUAAUACGAUGUGACAAUUGAUAUCAAACUGAACGCUGUCAGAAACAGGAUAUAUACUUUUAUCUUACAAAAAAAAAAAAAAAAAAAAAAAACAAAACAAAACAAAACAAGAAGAAAAGGAAAAGAAGAAAAAUAAUUCGCGCAAACAAUAUCAACUUUAUUUCGUAUACGGGUACAUGAUAAAAGGAUAAAACGAACAAACAGUUCCAUGUCGACCGCGUAACACUAAAAAAAGAAAACAAA